GAGGUUUGUAGGGGGCAGGGCCAGGAAGAGGGGAAGGUCUGGGAGGACCUGGAGGGCGCAGCCCAGGGACAAGGAGGGGCAGGAGGGAGCCUGGACUUUGGAGGAUGGGGAAGGCAGGCCAGGGCCCGGAGUGGGUGAAGACUUCUCAGGACUAGGCCAGUGUACAAGACAAAGCUGGAAUCUGUGGAGGUCUCUGCCUCCAACCCUUACGUCUAUUACAACACGCAGCUCGAAGACAUCAUUAAGAGUGGUACGGACCCUGCCACACCCCUGGCCAUGAAGAAAUUCGUCUCCCAUGCCACUUGCCAUGACUCCCUGGGGUUGCAAGAACAGGAAUCGUACCUCAUCAUGGGCCAGACGUCAGACCUGUGGAGAAUCAAAUCUGAUUACAGCUAUGUUCUGGGCAAGGAGACGUUCCUCAUCCUUUGGCCAGCAGAUGGAGAUGCCAGCAAGAAAGAAUUGCGGGACCAACUGGAGGAAUUUUUGGAAUAUAUGCGCACCCACGGCUGCCAGUCCUGAGCCUCUUCUGCUUUCAGGGAGGUGUCAUCAGGCAGCUCUGGGCCACUGGGUUUAACCCCAAAUAAAGAGCACAGGAUAUGACACCCAAA
ensembl:lncRNA C3P1 complement component 3 precursor pseudogene